UACGUAGGGUGCAAGCGUUGUCCGGAUUUAUUGGGUUUAAAGGGUGCGUAGGCGGCUUUGUAAGUCAGUGGUGAAAUAUGGCAGCUCAACUGUCAAGGUGCCAUUGAUACUGCGGAGCUUGAGUACAGACGAGGUUGGCGGAAUUGAUAGUGUAGCGGUGAAAUGCAUAGAUACUAUCAAGAACUCCGAUUGCGUAGGCAGCUAACUAGGCUGUAACUGACGCUGAGGCACGAAAGCGUGGGGAGCGAACGGG
rnacentral:rRNA from 1 species